rnacentral:rRNA from 1 species
AUUGAACGCUAACGGCGUGCUUAACACAUGCAAGUCGAGCGGCAGCAUGACUGUAGCAAUACAGUUGAUGGCGAGCGGCGGACGGGUGAGUAAUGCAUAGGAAUCUGCCUUGUAGUGGGGGAUAACCCGGGGAAACUCGGGCUAAUACCGCAUAAUCUCUACGGAGCAAAGUGGGGGACCUUCGGGCCCUACGCUAAAAGAUGAGCCUAUGUUGGAUUAGCUAGUUGGUAGGGUAAAGGCCUACCAAGGCAACGAUCCAUAGCUGGUCUGAGAGGAUGAUCAGCCACACUGGGACUGAGACACGGCCCAGACUCCUACGGGAGGCAGCAGUGGGGAAUAUUGGACAAUGGGCGAAAGCCUGAUCCAGCAACGCCGUGUGUGUGAAGAGGGCCUUCGGGUUGUAAAGCACUUUUAGUGGGGAAGAAAAGUUCACGGCUAAUAUCCAUGAAUGCUGACGUUACCCACAGAAAAAGCACUGGCUAACUCUGUGCCAGCAGCCGCGGUAA